ensembl:lncRNA
GUUUUUUUUUUUCGCAGUGUUGAGCUAGUAUUGUAUCUGACGUGUAACGUUAGCUACUGUUCCAUUCCCUCUCGACUGAGGUGAAUGAAUAAGCUAGGCCAGUGAGUAGCUACCACAGCCAGGUCGUCUCUAGCCUCUAGUUAUCUGUCAGAUAGCGAUAUGGAGGUGGCUAUUAUUACUAUCUGACAGCAGUUCUUUGUGUGGAAUUGUUUUGUUACGUUUUAGAAGUAAAUGAACUUGGCUUUCGCCAGUUGAUAUACUGUUCCAGAGAGAGCUGGCCAGAAGUUGGCUUACAUGAGCUAUUAUUUUUGCCUCAAUCAAACUAGACCUGAAUCAAACAAUGAAACCAUCGGCCAAACGAUUGAAGAUUGAUAUUCUGAUGUUUUUUUCAGUGCAAUGUGAGUUAUAUUAGUCAGUUUGGCAAUGUAAUCUUAUUGAUCUGUCAGUUUCCUUAGCUAAUUCCUUACUUUUCACACCGACACAGUAAUAAACAGCUCUAACAUUACAGACUUCACUGUCAUGGUGACCGGUUUCUUAAUCUUGUGCCUGCCAGCACCAGUUGGCUUCCUGUCCGACUCCCACCCGCUACAGCAAGAGCUGAUCCCAAAUCCAACCGCAAGAGCUGAUCCCAAACCCAACCGCAAGAACUGAUCCCAAGCCCUACCACAAGAGCUGAUUCCAAGCCCUACCGCAAGAACUGAUCCCAAGCCCUACCGCAAGAACUGAUCCCAAGCCCAACCGCAAGAACAGAUCCCAAGCCCUACCGCAAGAACUGAUCCCAAGCCCAACCGCAAGAACUGAUCCCAAGCCCAACCGCAAGAACUGAUCCCAAGCCCUACCGCAAGAACUGAUCCCAAGCCCUACCGCAAGAACUGCUCCCAAGCCCAACCGCAAGAACUGAUCCCAAACCCAACCGCAGUCCCGCAAUGUUGUUUUAGGCAUAUGUGGCGGCUCAUGUCCACUAGCAAGCGGUAAAUUGCAGCGUGCCGCUUAGGUCGCCCAGAGUGGCUCGCUUGUGGGCGUGCUGGCAGCAUAUGGCAGUAUAUAGCAACACGUUUGAUUGUGCUUCAAGAAUUCCGCAUAGCAAGUGUGUAUGAAGGUCUGGUUAUUGAAUGGGUAAAUAGGUUAAUCCGUUCUCCAUUUCAUGAAUGUAUUCACAGGUAAAUAGUCAUUUGCUUUAAAACGCUCUGGUGACAGGCAAACUUUGCUGCCCUUUUCCCAAUCGUCCACAAGGCUGGGAGAACCUAUUCAACAUUUAGAAAAUGUAAAGGAAAAAAAACAAUGUAUUAUUAGCUAACUAGCUACAGGCUAACUCAAAUGUGCUGUAAACGUAGCUAGAUAGAUAAUCUAGCCAAAUGUACAGAUUUUAUAGAUAGCUAGCUAAGUCAAUUAAAUCAUCACCAGCUACCUAACUUCAUAUUAACUAUCUUGAUUAGCUAGCUAUCUGGAUGUAUUUAUCACUGUAAAAAAAAAAAAACUCCAAAUGCAUUUGUAGGGAGCUAGCUAACAACCAUGGUGGAGGGUGUUAUGAUUGGUGUUUAUAUAUUGGAGAGUUGAGACCAAAUCACGGACGCUGGACAGAGUGGAUUUCAGUUGUAACAAAAGGCAGUUUUAAUGAGUCAAAGAUAUCUUGUCCCGCAGUUUUACGUGCAUGGAUCUAGUUCAUAUAACUCGGCAAGGAGUCAGGUGAAAAAGAGGCCUUAUACAAAGGUUACAUUCAUUUUUAU